rnacentral:rRNA from 1 species
GCGUAGGCGGUUUGUUAAGUCAUGAUGUGAAAUCCCCCGGCUCAACCGGGGAACUGCAUUUGAUACUGGUAAGCUUGAGUACAUGUUAGAGGACAGUGGAAYUCCUGGUGUAGCGGUGAAAUGCGUAGAUAUCYGGAGGAACACCUGUGGCGAAGGCGGCUYUCUGGACCAWUACUGACGCUGAGGCACGAAAGCKUGGGGAGCAAACAGGAUUAGAUACCCUGGUAGUCCACGCCGUAAACGAUG